rnacentral:rRNA from 1 species
AUGAAGAAGGCGGAACGGAUCAGAUGUCCAGCUCCAUUGCCCGAAAACCCAGCAGAUCCUCUUCUAAUGAGGAUGCUGGUCCCGACGCCCUAUCAAGCGCCGGAGAAAAAGGUCCAGAAGAAGAACAAAGGAUCCAAGGAUGGCCUCCGCCGCAAAGGUACUUCGGACGCGGUGUCCGAAGAGACCGACACUCACUCCUCCGAGGAGGAUGAAGAGGAGGAGGACGCAGAAAGCAAUCCUUCCCCGAAGGGGAGGAAGAAGAAGAGGGCGGCCUCCGAAGACCCAGGGGCGGAGGCAUCCAAAAGGGGAAAAAUAUCCCUCCCAGACGGCUCAGGCCAAAGCCAUCCCCGAGUGGCGCCCCAGGUCGAAGCCCCUCGCCGAAUCGUAAGUAUCCAAGGAUGCCUUACAUAA